rnacentral:rRNA from 1 species
CCUACGGGAGACAGCAGUGGGGGAUAUUGCACAAUGGCGGAAACUCUGAUGCAGCGACGCCGCGUGAAGGAAGACGGUCUUCGGAUUGUAAACCUCUGUCUUUAGGGAAGAAAAUGACGGUACCCAAAGAGGAAGCUCCGGCAAACUACGUGCCAGCAGCCGCGGUAAUACGUAGGGAGCGAGCGUUGUCCGGAGUUACGGGGUGUAAGGGGAGCGUAGGCGUGCUAGAAAGUUGAAUGUUAAAUCUACGGGUUUACCUUGUAGCUGCGUUCAAAACUUGUUGUCUUGAGUGAAGUAGAGGCAGGCGGAAUUCCUAGUGUAGCGGUGAAAUGCGUAGAUAUUAGGAGGAACACCAGUGGCGAAGGCGGCCUGCUGGGCUUUAACUGACGCUGAGGCUCGAAAGCGUGGGGAGCAAACAGGAUUAGAUACCCUAGUAGUC